rnacentral:rRNA from 1 species
UACGAAGGGGGCUAGCGUUGCUCGGAAUCACUGGGCGUAAGGCGCACGUAGGCGGAUUGCUAAGUCAGGGGUGAAAUCCUGGAGCUCAACUCCAGAACUGCCCUUGAUACUGGCGGUCUCGAGUCCGGGAGAGGUGAGUGGAACUGCGAGUGUAGAGGUGAAAUUCGUAGAUAUUCGCAAGAACACCAGUGGCGAAGGCGGCUCACUGGCCCGGUACUGACGCUGAGGUGCGAAAGCGUGGGGAGCAAACAGG